rnacentral:lncRNA from 10 species
GCAACAACACGGAUGGAUCUUACAAGCCUGAUGUGGAACAAGAGAAGCCUGUCCAGAGACUAAGUGAAUGGAUUUAUGUGGUAUGCAAAAACAGGCAAAACCAAAUCAUAGUGUUUUGGGAGGUAUGCUUACAUAGUAAAGCUCUGAAGGAAAACAAAGAAAAGGCGACUAAAGAGAAUGACAACUUACACAAUGCAGAAUCCUGGAUUGGAUCCUAGAUCCAAUCAACGUGUAGGGAUGCUGAUCCCACUCCAAGUCUAGAACAUCAUUCACAUCUUGGACAGCAAAUUUCACAUACUGAUGAAGGCGCCGAAUUUCCUAUAAGAAAAAAAUUAAAAGUGUAUCAUGCGUAUAAUCCCAGCACUUUGGGAGGCUGAAGCAGAAGAAUCACAUGAGCCCAGGUGUUUGAGACCAGCCUGAGCAACACAUAGAACAUGCUGUGGACACUCCAAUUUUAGACCCCUGGCCCAUGGUGCAGCAUGGAAACCUUAUACCUGAAGUUGCAUAAUCACUGCCAGCAUACCGGUAGUAGAGCCAUCACCACAUCUGGAGACGUUUCCAGGGUCCCAUCUGCAGCAGCAUACACUAUGGCGAAGACGUAGGUACCAAUCCACAGCACAUCCAGAACU